CCCAGAGUUCUUCAGAGUCCCCUAAAGGAACUAUGUGGUGUCCACGCAGCAUCCUGAAACCAGCAGCUAUCCUGGGGGCGCCUAUGCUGUUUCGAGCUCAGACAUCGCCAGCAAGGCCUCAGCCUUCAGGGGGGCCCUGCCUUCCGAGUGUGGAGCCCCCUAUCUGGCUGCUGCGGGAAUGCCUCACUCGAGAAAGAAUGCGCAGCCACUCGGUCAGCUCCCAAGAGCCCACGCACAGGAGGACGCCUCUGUAUCACGCAGACCCGGCCCAGAGCCUGAGGGCUGAAAAGAUUGAGCAGCAAGUGACUCUGGAAGAGCUACGACGCUUAAACGCACUCUUUCAGGAACAUGAAAAGAGAGGAAGUCAGCUGCUGGAUAUGGAAACAUUCAAAUGCAUGAUGAAGCAGAGUUUGAGGUCACACAGCAAAAGUAUUGGACAAAUAGAACAACUCUUCAUGAAAAUAGACUACGAGGCAGUGGGGAGAAUCCAGUGGGACAGUUUCUGCACAUACCUGCAGCUGGAGUACUCGGAGCAAGCCAAAGCGGCGGCUUGGCAAGCGGAGGCCUCUCUCCUGCUGCCUGCCAUUCAGCAGAGGCUGACAUAUGGGAGACCCGUGCUGCGCAUUCUCCCUCUGCCCGAUGACACCUUAAUCACCCUCCGAGAAGACGGAACUAUUUAUUUCUGGUCCCUGCAGCUGAAGUUGAAAAGAAAGAAGCCGAUUUUUGGCAAGUCCACCAGCCGGAAGUCCCGCUGGGUGACAGACAUUGUCAGCAUGCCACAGUACAACAAAGUAAUCGUUGGAACCGGGAGCAGGGAGCUGCAGCUAUAUGAACUCUCGAACUUGGAGCCUUACUGUCGAAUCGGUGGCCUGGAAGCCGUGCCCCUGAAACUGGAGUACUGCCUCGUAGGUGGGAGGCAAAGUAACUGGAGACGUGUCUUUGGAGCUCUAUCUUGCUCCGGCCCCUUUCUGUUCUACUUCUCGGCCACCAUAAUGGGAACUGCUUUGCUCUGCUCCCAGGAUCCCAGAGUCAGAUAACUCCGCACCACCAUGCUCUCCACACCCUUGGAAGUUGUGAGUGGAAUAAACAUUACAUUAUCACUCCCA
rnacentral:lncRNA from 1 species